rnacentral:rRNA from 1 species
AACGAACGCUGGCGGCAGGCCUAACACAUGCAAGUCGAGCGAGGACUUCGGUCCUAGCGGCGGACGGGUGAGUAACGCGUUGGAACGUGCCCUUUGCUUCGGAAUAGCCCUGGGAAACUGGGAGUAAUACCGGAUGAGCCCUUUGGGGGAAAGAUUUAUCGGCGAAGGAUCGGCCCGCGUUGGAUUAGGUAGUUGGUGGGGUAAUGGCCUACCAAGCCGACGAUCCAUAGCUGGUUUGAGAGGAUGAUCAGCCACACUGGGACUGAGACACGGCCCAGACUCCUACGGGAGGCAGCAGUGGGGAAUCUUAGACAAUGGGGGAAACCCUGAUCUAGCCAUGCCGCGUGAGCGAUGAAGGCCUUAGGGUUGUAAAGCUCUUUCAGCUGGGAAGAUAAUGACGGUACCAGCAGAAGAAGCCCCGGCUAACUCCGUG